rnacentral:rRNA from 1 species
CCUACGUGAGGCAGCAGUGAGGAAUAUUGGUCAAUGGGCGCGAGCCUGAACCAGCCAAGUAGCGUGAAGGAUGACUGCCCUACGGGUUGUAAACUUCUUUUAUAAAGGAAUAAAGUGAGGCACGUGUGCCUUUUUGUAUGUACUUUAUGAAUAAGGAUCGGCUAACUCCGUGCCAGCAGCCGCGGUAAUACGGAGGAUCCGAGCGUUAUCCGGAUUUAUUGGGUUUAAAGGGAGAGUAGAUGGGUUGUUAAGUCAGUUGUGAAAGUUUGCGGCUUAACCGUAAAAUUGCAAUUGAUACUGGCAGUCUUGAGUACAGUUGAGGUAGGCGGAAUUCGUGGUGUAGCGGUGAAAUGCUUAGAUAUCACGAAGAAAUCCGAUUGCGAAGGCAGCUUACUAAACUGCCACUGACAUUGAUGCUCGAAAGUGUGGGUAUCAAACAGGAUUAGAUACCCCUGUAGUC